UAAGGUGGUUAUAGCAGUAGGGCUCACCUCUUCCCAUUCCGAACAGAGAAGUUAAGCCUACUAGCGCAGAUGGUACUGCCAUCCGGUGGGAGAGUAUGUCGCCGCCUUCU
rfam:Flavobacteria bacterium MS024-2A ctg71, whole genome shotgun sequence.